CUCUGUCUUUCGAUGAAACUCCUACAGACUUCUCGAUCUCCCCUCUACCAUCAACAAAGAGAAGAGGACUGAGGAAUCCAAUUUAAGUAAAAUGACACUACAUAUGUGAUGUCAGAUGUACUCCCCUUCCAACUAUCUCCACACCAACAUAUCAAGUUGUUGCUCUCCUAACAAGAGAUAGAAUCCUAGUGUAAAGGACAAAUAUACCAUUCCAACUUGAUUAUUAAUAUUAGACAAAAGAGUCACGGUUGUAACACUUUCAACUAAGAAUAGCAGUUCUGUGGAUGAAUUCCAUGUAACAAAUGGCUCGAGUUUGCAUUUGAUUGGUGUUCUUUGAGAAGUUCUUUGUGCUUCGAUUUUUGUAUCAGGAAAAUGUUAGAUUUUGUUGACCUAAUUAUAGUUUCUUUGCCUCCGCUGUGAUUCUUUUUUCCAUUAGUUCUCAUGAAAAUUCGUAAGUUGAUUUGCUUGAUAUCUAAAUAGUACGAUAGAGCAAGUUAUGUUCUUAUGUGGUAUGGAGCUUGCGUACAAUACAUCUGACCUUUCUUGGUUAAGUUGUUUGUCAAGGCUGUUCUUUUAUUUUGCAGUGAUCGCAUCAUUUAUUUGUGCAUUAUUUUGGAAAUUAUAUUGAAGCAGAUUAUGAUUGCAUAUUGCUCUUAUUUUCAUGGCAAGCUGCUUUCUUAAAUGAUUUCUUUGUUUGUGUUAAAGUGAUUUUCCAGUGGAUUUAGAAUGAUUUCUGAGUGAUCUUGGUGUGCUUAAAACCGUCUACUAACAUAUCCUGUGCAAGUGGCUGAUGCUUAGGUCUUAAAUAUUUCAUUGUCCGGGAAGAUUUACUUAGUGCUGUAUUUUUUUUAUAGUAUGUAAAUAAGUAACGAAUCAGACAACUCCUAUAUUGUGCAGGAGCGUGUCAUAGUUACUUUGUCAUCUUUUAUGGUCAUGAAUGGUUUGGCACAUUUGUCACAUGCACACUGCAUGUAAAAUAUAUGGGUAAUGCAACAAUUAAAGAGAACUUGUUUUUAGUGUAUAAGAUUAUACAAAGUGCAAGAUGAAUUUCAAUUUAAAUUGCAUAGACUUUGUGCUAAAGUUCAGUCUUAUAAAAAACUCCGUAAUGCCAAAAUAUUUGGCUUUGAACUAUUCUUGGGGCGUUGAAGCCAAAGAAAUGUUUAUGUGAAAUUCUUCAUGAGCUAAACAAUGCAAUUUACGAAUAUUAUUUUAUAUUUGUAGUAUGAGAAAUGUUUAUGUGAAAUUAGCAGAUAGAAAUUGUGUAAUGUGGAAUGUGUGCACUGAAGACCC
rnacentral:lncRNA from 1 species